UAGCGAAGCUAUUUAGAAUCUGUUGAAUUAUGCUUCACAACCAGAAAUGCACCGGCAUGGACGCCGGGGCAAGGCGUUAUGCGCCAUGGACGGCGCAUAAAAGCCGGUUUCGUCAAGCAUCGAAAACCAAAAGGCAUAAUUCCUACAGAUUCUUAAUGGCGUAGCGU
rfam:[Eubacterium rectale] ATCC 33656 chromosome, complete genome.